UAGCUUGGGGGGGGAUUCAUAGCUCAUUAACAUAUCUUUUAAUUUAACAUAAGGGAUCACAUGGUGUGGGAAUGUCAACACAUUCAAAUAACAUUUGGACCUUCUACAAUGUAAGAUCCUAGAGGAGUCAAUAUUCCAGCAAGAGACACAUAUAUAAGGCCAGGAGCAUCAAACACCCAAAUGCACAGAAGAAAGGCUGCAGCGACAUUGACAACCCAGCUCAACCAUGGCAACAGACCAGUGAGAAGAACCAAUGAAAAUAAGAGUAAAGUAAAAUAAAAGAGAGAGAAAGUAUAUAUGUGUGUGUGUGUGUGUGUAUAUAUAUAUAU